rnacentral:rRNA from 1 species
CUCCGAAUGCCUCUAGAUUAGAGUUUGAUCAUGGCUCAGAUCUGAACGCUGGCGGCAGGCCUAACACAUGCAAGUCGAACGGUAACAGGAAGCAGCUUGCUGCUUUGCUGACGAGUGGCGGACGGGUGAGUAAUGUCUGGGAAACUGCCUGAUGGAGGGGGAUAACUACUGGAAACGGUAGCUAAUACCGCAUAACGUCGCAAGACCAAAGAGGGGGACCUUCGGGCCUCUUGCCAUCGGAUGUGCCCAGAUGGGAUUAGCUAGUAGGUGGGGUAACGGCUCACCUAGGCGACGAUCCCUAGCUGGUCUGAGAGGAUGACCAGCCACACUGGAACUGAGACACGGUCCAGACUCCUACGGGAGGCAGCA